UAUGGAAGGCAGCAGUGGGGAAUAUUGCACAAUGGGCGCAAGCCUGAUGCAGCCAUGCCGCGUGUAUGAAAAAGGCCUUCGGGUUGUAAAGUACUUUCAGUCGUGAGGAAGGUGUUAAGGUUAAUAACCUUAGCAAUUGACGUUAGCGACAGAAGAAGCACCGGCUAACUCCGUGCCAGCAGCCGCGGUAAUACGGAGGGUGCGAGCGUUAAUCGGAAUUACUGGGCGUAAAGGGCACGCAGGCGGUUAAUUAAGUUGGAUGUGAAAUCCCCGGGCUUAACCUGGGAAUGGCAUUCAAGACUGGUUAGCUAGAGUCUUGUAGAGGGGGUAGAAUUCCAUGUGUAGCGGUGAAAUGCGUAGAGAUGUGGAGGAAUACCGGUGGCGAAGGCGGCCCCUGGACAAAGGCUGACGCUCAUGUGCGAAAGCGUGGGGAGCAAACGAGGAUUAGA
rnacentral:rRNA from 1 species